rnacentral:rRNA from 1 species
AGAAUCAACGCUGGCGGCGUGCCUAACACAUGCAAGUCGAACGAGAAAGUGGAGCAAUCCAUGAGUAAAGUGGCGACCGGGUGAGUAACACGUGACUAACCUACCUUCGAGUGGGGGAUAACCUCGGGAAACCGGGGCUAAUACCGCAUAACAUCUUUGAAGUGGAAAUUUCGGAGAUCAAAGGAGCAAUUCGCUUGAAGAGGGGGUCGCGGCUGAUUAGCUAGUUGGCGGGUAACGGCCCACCAAGGCUUAGAUCGGUAGCCGGCCUGAGAGGGCGCACGGCCACACUGGAACUGAAACACGGUCCAGACUCCUACGGGAGGCAGCAGUGGGGAAUUUUGCGCAAUGGGGGAAACCCUGACGCAGCAACGCCGCGUGGAGGAUGAAGUCCCUUGGGACGUAAACUCCUUUCGACCCGGACGAUAAUGACGGUACGGGUGGAAGAAGCCCCGGCUAACUUCGUGCCAGCAGCCGC